GACGAACGCUGGCGGCGUGCUUAACACAUGCAAGUCGAACGGACAGACAGAGAGCUUGCUCUCUUGAAGUUAGUGGCGAACGGGUGAGUAACGCGUAAUCAACCUGCCCUUCAGAGGGGGAUAACAACGGGAAACCGUUGCUAAUACCGCGUACGAUUCAUGAACGGCAUCGUUUAUGAAUGAAAGGUGGCCUCUAUGUAUAAGCUAUCGCUGAAGGAGGGGAUUGCGUCUGGUUAGCUAGUUGGAGGGGUAACGGCCCACCAAGGCAAUGAUCAGGAGCCGGUAUGGGUGGAUGAACGGCCACAUUGGGACUGAGGCACGGCCCCAACUCCUACGGGAGGCAGCAGUGGGGAAUCUUCCGCAAUGGACGAAAGUCUGACGUAGCAACGCCGCGUGAGUGAUGAAGGUCUUCGGAUUGUAAAGCUCUGUUAAUCGGGGCGAAAGAGUUCUGCGUGAAUAAUGCAGAAAAGUGACGGUACCGGAAUAGAAAGCCACGGCUAACUACGUGCCAGCCGCCGCAGUAA
rnacentral:rRNA from 1 species